rfam:Synechococcus sp. PCC 7002, complete genome.
GGGGGUAUAGCUCAGUUGGUAGAGCGCUUGCAUGGCAUGCAAGAAGUCACCGGUUCGAGUCCGGUUAUCUCCA